rnacentral:rRNA from 1 species
GGGCUGGUAAAGACCGGUGCCAGCCGCCGCAGUAAUACCGGCAGCUCGAGUGGUCGUCGCUUUUAUUGGGCCUAAAACGUCCGUACCCUGUUUGGUAAAUCUGUGGGUAAAUCAACCAGCUUAACUGGUUGAAUUCUGCAGAGACUGCCAGACUAGAAACCGAGAGAAGUGUGGGGUACUCUACGGGUAGGGGUAAAAUCCUGUCCUCCUUAGAGAGACCACCUUUUGCGAAGGCGCCACACUAAAACAGAUCCGACGGUCAGGGACGAACCCUAGGGGCACAAACCGGAUUAUAUACCCGGGUAGUCCUAGGUGUAAACGCUGUGAACUUGGUGUCGGGAGUCCGCAAUGGGCCCCCGGUGCCAGAGUGAAGAUGUUAAGUUCACUGCCUGGGGAGUACGGUCGCAAGGCUGAAACUUAAAGGAAUUGCGGGGGAGAGCAC